AUGGGAACGCGAAGAACCUUACCUACUCUUGACAUCCAGAGAACUUAGCAGAGAUGCUUUGGUGCCUUCGGGAACUCUGAGACAGGUGCUGCAUGGCUGUCGUCAGCUCGUGUUGUGAAAUGUUGGGUUAAGUCCCGCAACGAGCGCAACCCUUAUCCUUUGUUGCCAGCGGUCCGGCCGGGAACUCAAAGGAGACUGCCAGUGAUAAACUGGAGGAAGGUGGGGAUGACGUCAAGUCAUCAUGGCCCUUACGAGUAGGGCUACACACGUGCUACAAUGGCGCAUACAAAGAGAAGCGACCUCGCGGGAGCAAGCGGACCUCAUAAAGUAUGUCGUAGUCCGGAUUGGAGUCUGCAACUCGACUCCAUGAAGUCGGAAUCGCUAGUAAUCGUAGAUCAGAAUGCUACGGUGAAUACGUUCCCGGGUCUUGUACACACCG
rnacentral:rRNA from 1 species